GAAGCUUCAGGUGGAGGGAGAGGACACAGAGGAGGACGUUGAGGAGCAGAAGGAAGAGUUGGAGGUGCAGCUGCCAGAUGAGAGCAACCCUUAUGAAGAGGUCUACAAGGACUCUACCACCUUCCUCAAGGGUACCCAGAGUCUGAACCCCCAUAAUGACUACUGUCAA